UACGUAGGUGACCAGCGUUGUCCGGAUUUACUGGGCGUAAAGAGCGCGCAGGCGGUCGUUCAAGUCGAGUGUGAAAGCCCCCGGCUCAACUGGGGAGGGUCACUCGAUACUGAUCGACUGGAAGGCAGGAGAGGGAAGCGGAAUUCCCGGUGUAGUGGUGAAAUGCGUAGAUAUCGGGAGGAACACCAGUGGCGAAGGCGACUACCUGGCCUGUUCUUGACGCUGAGGCGCGAAAGCUAGGGGAGCAAACGGG
rnacentral:rRNA from 1 species